UGCCAGCAGCCGGCGGUAAUACGGAGGGGGUUAGCGUUGUUCGGAAUUACUGGGCGUAAAGCGCACGUAGGCGGAUCAAUAAGUCAGGGGUGAAAUCCCGAGGCUCAACCUCGGAACUGCCUUUGAUACUGUUGGUCUUGAGUUCGAGAGAGGUGAGUGGAAUUCCGAGUGUAGAGGUGAAAUUCGUAGAUAUUCGGAGGAACACCAGUGGCGAAGGCAGCCCCCUGGGAUAACACUGACGCUCAUGGACGAAAGCCAGGGGAGCGAAAGGGAUUAGAUA
rnacentral:rRNA from 1 species